rnacentral:rRNA from 1 species
AUUGAACGCUGGCGGCAGGCCUAACACAUGCAAGUCGAACGAGUGGCGGACGGGUGAGUAAUGUCUGGUAAACUGCCUGAUGGAGGGGGGUAACUACUGGAAACGGUAGCUAAUACCGCAUACCCUCAUAUGUGCCCAGCUGGGAUUAGCUUGUUGGUGGGGUAACGGCUCACCAAGGCGACGAUACCUAGCUGGUCUGAUAGGAUGACCGGCCACACGGGAACUGAGCAACGGUCCAGACUCCUACGGGAGGCAGCAGGGGGGAAUAUUGGACAAUGGGGGCAAGCCGGAUGCAGCCAUGCCGCGUGUAGGAAGAAGGCCUUCGGGUUGUAAAGUACUUUCAGCGGGGAGGCGUUACCCGAAGAGGAAGCACCGGCUAACUCCGUGCCAGCAGCCGCGGUAAUAC